GAUGAACGCUGGCGGCGUGCCUAAUACAUGCAAGUCGAGCGAACGGACGAGAAGCUUGCUUCUCUGAUGUUAGCGGCGGACGGGUUAGUAACACGUGGAUAACCUACCUAUAAGACUGGGAUAACUUCGGGAAACCGUAGCUAAUACCGGAUAAUAUUUUGAACCGCAUGGUUCAAAAGUGAAAGACGGUCUUGCUGUCACUUAUAGAUGGAUCCGCGCUGCAUUAGCUAGUUGGUAAGGUAACGGCUUACCAAGGCAACGAUGCAUAGCCGACCUGAGAGGGUGAUCGGCCACACUGGAAAUGAGACACGGUCCAGACUCCUACGGGAGGCAGCAGUAGGGAAUCUUCCGCAAUGGGCGAAAGCCUGACGGAGCAACGCCGCGUGAGUGAUGAAGGUCUUCGGAUCGUAAAACUCUGUUAUUAGGGAAGAACAUAUGUGUAAGUAACUGUGCACAUCUUGACGGUACCUAAUCAGAAAGCCACGGCUAACUAAGUG
rnacentral:rRNA from 1 species